GGCCUGAUGGUGUAGUGGUUAUCACGUUUGUCUUACAAGCUCGCUUGAGGCAUAGUUAUCUAUGGUAGAGUAGCCAGGGGCACAAACGGUCGCCGGUUCGAUCCCGGCUCAGGUCA
rnacentral:tRNA from 1 species